GAAGUCAAGUCAUAUGUAUGUAAUAGCUAGAGUAUGUGGACAUGACAUAUGAUAAGAAUGUAAUGUAAAGUUUGAACAGUUAUGUUUAUGUAACUAUGUUAUUGAGGAUAGAUUUGUGCUUGACCAUAGUAUAUGUUAAUCCCUUGGUAUGUACAUGAUCUUAUUAUAUGAUGUGUAUGUGAACCAACUCAACACAGAUUUUAUAUUGCCAUUGAGGCUUUGAUGAAAUCCCACAGAGGGAUUAAUGUUUAUGUAUAUGAUGAAUAAAGUGCAUGCACAGGUUGAGUUUGGUGUAUGAAGAAAAAGAAAAGUUUUAAUUCUUAAGUAUGUUUGUUGAUCAUGUAUGGGAUUAAACAGGUAUACAGGAUGUAUGUAGGCUUGCUACGGGUCCCGGCGGCCUUAAGCCGAUCUGGAUCCUAGUGCCGGUAACGGGUCGGUUUUCCGGGUCGUUACACCUGCAGCAUUCAUGGAUCUCAUGAACAGAGUGUUUAGCCAGUACCUGGAUCACUUCGUUAUUGUCUUCAUAGAUGAUAUCUUGGUGUAUUCCAGGAAUGCAGAGGAGCAUGCCCAUCAUCUGAGGUUGGUUCUACAGACCUUGAGGGAACAUGGCUUGUAUGCCAAGUUCUCCAAGUGUGAGUUCUGGCUGAGGAGCAUCUCAUUCUUGGGGCAUGUAGUGUCAGAAAAUGGAAUAGAGGUGGUCCCCAAGAAGGUAGAAGCUGUGGCUAACUGGCCUAGACCCACUUCAGUGACAGAAAUCAGGAGUUUCUUGGGUUUGGCAGGUUACUAUAGGAGGUUCGUUCAGGACUUCUCAAAGAUUGCAGCUCCUCUGACCAGGUUAACCAGGAAGAAUCCAAAGUUUGUGUGGACCGACCAGUGCGAAGAGAGUUUUGAAGAGCUUAAGAAGAGGUUGACUUCAGCACCAGUGUUAGCUCUGCCAUCUAGUGAUGAAGACUUUACAGUCUUUUGUGAUGCGUCCCAUGUGGGACUGGGUUGUGUACUAAUGCAGAAUGAGAGGGUGAUUGCUUAUGCUUCUAGACAGCUGAAGAAGCAUGAGUUAAAUUACCCCACGCAUGACCUAGAGAUGGCAGCAGUAAUCUUUGCACUCAAGAUGUGGAGGCACUAUCUCUAUGGGGUAAAAUGUGAGAUCUUUACAGAUCAUAAGAGCCUGCAGUACAUCCUGAGUCAAAGAGAUUUGAACUUGAGACAAAGAAGGUGGGUAGAGCUGCUGAGUGACUAUGAUUGCAGGAUUCAGUAUCAUCCGGGUAAGGCAAAUGUCGUGGCAGACGCCCUAAGCCGGAAGUCACUAGGCAGUCUAUCCCACAUCACGGCAGAGAGGAGACCAGUGGUGAAGGAGUUUUACAAGCUCAUUGAUGAAGGUCUACAGUUGGAGUUGGCUGGUACAGGUGCUUUAGUGGCCCAGAUGAGAGUGACACCUGUGUUUCUGGAGCAAGUGGCUCAGAAACAGCAUGAGGACCCAGAGUUAGUGAAGAUUGCCAGGACUGUUCAGUCAGGCAAGGAUAGUGAGUUCAGAUUUGACAGUAAGGGGAUCCUCCGCUAUGGGAGUCGAUUGUGUGUACUAGAUGACAUAGGGCUAAAAGGAGACAUUAUGAGGGAGGCUCAUAAUGCAAGAUACAACAUUCACCCUGGAGCCACCAAGAUGUAUCAAGAUCUGAAGAAAGUUUAUUGGUGGCCAGCAAUGAAGAAAGAAGUGGUACAGUUUGUGUCAGCCUGCGAAGUGUGUCAGAGGGUGAAGCUGGAACAUCAGAAGCCGGCUGGAAUGCUUAACCCGCUACCUAUUCCAGAGUGGAAAUGGGAGAAUAUAGCUAUGGACUUCGUAGUGGGGUUACCGGCGAUGUCCAACAGAUUGGACUCCAUAUGGGUGAUUGUGGAUAGACUCACCAAAUCUGCUCACUUCAUCCCUGUCAGGAGUGGCUAUUCUAUGGACAAGUUGGCGCAGGUGUAUGUUGAUGAGAUCGUCAGGCUGCAUGGGGUUCCUGUGUCAAUAGUGUCUGAUAGAGGGCCCCAGUUCACCUCUAGGUUUUGGCGGAGUCUGCAGAAUGCUAUGGGUACCAGGUUAGAUUUUAACACUGCUUUCCAUCCACAGACGGACGGACAGUCAGAGAGGACCAUCCAGACAAUAGAAGAUAUGCUCAGAAUGUGUGUGCUAGAUUUUGGCGAUUCUUGGAGGCAACAUCUACCUUUGGUGGAGUUUGCCUACAAUAACAGCCAUCAUGCUAGCAUCGGGAUGGCUCCAUAUGAAGCUUUGUAUGGGAGGAAGUGCAGAUCACCUGUUUGCUGGGAGGAAGUUGGAGAGAAGGCCUUGGCAGGGCCUGAGUUAGUAGAGAUCACCAGCAAGGUGGUACCCAUAAUCAGAGAAAGGAUCAAGACUGCUGCAAGCAGACAGAAGAGUUAUGCAGACAUCCGCAGACGGCAAGUAGAGUUUUAGGAGGGGGAUCUGGUAUUGCUCAAGGUGUCUCCAAUGAAAGGAGUGGUUCGCUUUGGGAAGAAAGGUAAACUAGCUCCGCGAUACAUCGGACCCUUUGAAGUCUUGCAGAAGAUUGGGAAUGUGUCGUACAAGCUAGAUUUGCCUGCUUCAAUGGCAAGAAUCUAUCCGGUUUUCCAUGUUUCCAUGUUAAGAAAGUUUGUGUCAGAUCCGGGCAAGGUUCUUAGUGAGCCUGAUGUGGAGAUCCAAGAAGAUCUCACUUAUAUUGAGCAGCCAGUACGGAUCAUAGACACCCAGAUCAGGAAGUUGAGGAACAAGGAAAUCCCGAUCGUGAAAGUCCUGUGGAACCACCACAAUAUGGAAGAAUGCACUUGGGAGACACGAGAGUCCAUGCUCCAGCAAUACCCUUAUCUUUUCUGAGGUUAGUUCCUUGUGAGUUUUAUGUGCUUUGUAUGUAUGAUAUGUGUAUGCCAUGCUAUGUGCUAGUUGAGGAACAUUCGGGGACGAAUGUUCUUAAGGUGGGGAGAAUGUAAUACCCGGCUAGACUCCGGUAUCGAAAUUCCUACCGUCCGGUGGAAUCUCGGAUGCCGGAGACCUCUAGAAGGGUAAAACCAUAUUUUCAUUAAAUGUUUUGAUGUAUUUUAUGGUUUUUAAUAAAAAUAAAUCCAAGUUUUGAGUGAAGAGGGCUUUAGAGACUUUGCCAGGUUCGGCCGCCGAAAGUCAUCUUCGGCCGCCGAACAUGGGGAGGUUUUGGGAGCGCUUUUGGCCUCCGAAAGCCUUGUUUGAAUUAGCCAAGGUUUGGCCGCCGAACCUUAUGUUCGGCCGCCGAACUUGCAUGCGUUGUGGGGGCACGUUAGGCCGCCGAAAGGUGGUAAGGACAGCCCUAUAAAAGGACCCCAUGGCCGAAACGGGCAAGCUUUUCUUCCCGUUUUCGGCCAGGGUGAGUUCUCCACCGCCCCUCCUCUGUUUUGAGCUUCUCCCUUCGAGUUUUCAUGUUUUUCUUAUGAGUUUUCACCUAGUUUUGAAGAUUUUCGAGUUUAAAGCAAGUUUUGGAGCUUUGAGGUUCAAGAACUCAAAUCUCUCCCAUCUUCGAGCUAGGGUCGUUUUCCUCUCGAUCUUCAAGAGGUACGGGCUGAUCUUGAGCUCACUAUAUGUUUUUAACAAGUUUUAAGUUGAUUCUUGAAGUAGAAAUGCAUGUGUAGGGUUUUAUGAGUUUUUGGGUUUAUGUUGGUUUAUGGGCAAUGUAUGUUGGAUUUGUGUUGUUUGAUGUGUUGUAAAUGGGGUUUUAGAUGGUUUGAAGCCCCUAGGAGCUGGUAUGCUUGAGUAUGUGUGUUGUAGAAUAGGAUUAUGCAUGUUUGUAAGGUUUGGGAGGCAUUGGAGGCAAGAGGAGCCAAGUUUCUGCCCUUUGGCAGAAACCAGGUUCGGCAGCCGAAGGACUUUCAGCCGCCGAACAUGGCUGGGGAGGCAAGCCUUUCGGCUGCCGAAGCCUGCCCCCGAAAGGAGACUUUCGUCUCUGUCUGGGAGUUUCAGCCGCCGAAAGUGCCGCCGAACAUGCAUGAGUUCGCCUCUGUCUGGGAGUUUCGGCCGCCGAAGGUGCCGCCGAACCUGCCUGACUUUCCGCUCUGGAGGGACUUUCGGCCGCCGAACCUGCCGCCGAAAGUGCCCUGUUCAGCCUUCCUUUGCAUUUUUUUGCAUGAUUGUUUUGAGGUGUUUUAGGGGGGUUUUUGGGGGAUGUUUUUAGAGUUAUGAUUCUAGUUGUUUGGUCCCUCAUUUGAGUCCACCUGUGUAGGUUCGGACCCUAGGAACCGAGGACCCCAGCAGUGAGUUAGCUGCUUCAGUCAUUGUCAGAGCUAGCCAAGAGGUGAGUAGAAUAAACCUUUACGAUUUAAAGCAAAUAAAUUAUAAAGUUUUGAGCAUGUUCAUGCAUCAUGAAUGCCAUGUGAUGAAUUAGGUUGUUUGCAUUAGAAUUCACGAAUAUGUUGCAUUGCAUUUAUGAUGUUGAUGUGGAUUGGUUAUUGGAUGAUCCUUUAGUGCUCAUAUGAUAUGAUGAUGUUACGGCAUGAUAUAGUAUGGAAGUCCAGGUUGUACCCAUUCUACGUCCCUGGCACUAUGUAAGAGAAAGUCCAGGUUGUACCCCAUUCUACGUCCCUGGCACAGUUGGACUAUAUGAUAUGUUAUGUUAAGAGGAAGACCGGUUGUACCCAUUCUAUGUCCCGGCACAGUUGGACUAUGUAGAGGACUAUUGGUGACAAUACCAUCCGAGAUGUGAUUUGUUGUGAUGUGUUGCAUUACAUGAUGGCAUGAGAUUUCAAAUGUUGUUUUUCAUUAUUCUGCUCACUGGGCUCUAGUAGCUCACCCCUUUCCCUAAUCCUCCAGGUUUGCAGGUACGGGCUAGGCAGAGAAGUCAAGAUGGAUGAAGUUUUGUGUAUGUAAUAGUUAGAAUGUGGACAUGAUAAAUUGUAAAUGGUUGUAAUGUAAAGUUUGAAUAGUCAUGCUAUGCAUAAUGAUAUUGAGGAUUAGAAGUUGUGCUUGACCCUAUGGGUAUUGUUAUCCCUUUUAUUACAUGAUCUCAAAUGUUUAUGAUGUAGAUGUAAACCAACUCAACACAUGUAUGUCACCCAUUGGGGCAUUGAUGAGAUCCCAAAGAGGGAUCAAUAUUUAUAGUUAUGUUUAUGUUCAGUGCAUGCACAGGUUGAGUUUGG
rnacentral:lncRNA from 1 species